AUUGAACGCUGGCGGCAUGCCUUACACAUGCAAGUCGAACGGUAACGGGCCUUCGGGUGCCGACGAGUGGCGAACGGGUGAGUAAUGUAUCGGAACGUACCUUUCAGUGGGGGAUAACGUAGCGAAAGUUACGCUAAUACCGCAUAUUCUGUGAGCAGGAAAGCAGGGGAUCGCAAGACCUUGCGCUGAUUGAGCGGCCGAUAUCAGAUUAGCUAGUUGGUGAGGUAAAGGCUCACCAAGGCGACGAUCUGUAGCGGGUCUGAGAGGAGGAUCCGACACACUGGAACCGAGACACGGUCCAGACGCCUACGGGAGGCAGCAGUGGGGAAUUUUGGACAAUGGGUGCAACCCUGAUCCAGCCAUGCCGCGUGAGUGAAGAAGGCCUUCGGGUUGUAAAGCUCUUUCGGCCGGGAAGAAAUCGUAUCAGCUAAUACCUGGUGCGGAUGACGGUACCGGCAUAAGAAGCACCGACUAACUACGUGCCAGCCGCCGCCGUAAUAC
rnacentral:rRNA from 1 species